rnacentral:rRNA from 1 species
AUUGAACGCUGGCGGCAUGCCUUACACAUGCAAGUCGAACGGCAGCACGGGUGCUUGCACCUGUUGGCGAGUGGCGAACGGGUGAGUAAUACAUCGGAACAUGUCCCUUAGUGGGGGAUAGCCCGGCGGAAGCCGGAUUAAUACCGCAUACGAACUACGGAUGAAAGCGGGGGACCUGCGGGCUUCGCGCUGUGGGGUUGGCCGAUGGCUGAUUAGCUAGUUGGGGGGGUAGAGGCCUACCAAGGCGACGAUCAGGAGCUGGCAUGAGAGGUGGACCAGCGACAGGGGGACUGAGGUAGGGCGCAGAGGGCAACGGGGGACAGCAGGGGGGAGUAUUGCACAACGGGCGGGAGUGGGAGGCGGCGGCGCCGGGGGGGGGAUGAAGGCCUGCGGGGUGUAAACCGCUUGCGCCUGUGACGAAGCGGGAGUGACGGUAAUGGGAAAAGAAGCACCGGCUAACUACGUG